rnacentral:rRNA from 1 species
UGGGGAAUAUUGCACAAUGGGCGCAAGCCUGAUGCAGCCAUGCCGCGUGUGUGAAGAAGGCCUUCGGGUUGUAAAGCACUUUCAGCGAGGAGGAAGGUGGUGAGCUUAAUACGCUCAUCAAUUGACGUUACUCGCAGAAGAAGCACCGGCUAACUCCGUGCCAGCAGCCGCGGUAAUACGGAGGGUGCAAGCGUUAAUCGGAAUUACUGGGCGUAAGGCGCACGCAGGCGGUUUGUUAAGUCAGAUGUGAAAUCCCCGGGCUCAACCUGGGAACUGCAUUUGAAAACUGGCAAGCUAGAGUCUCGUAGAGGGGGGUAGAAUUCCAGGUGUAGCGGUGAAAUGCGUAGAGAUCUGGAGGAAUACCGGUGGCGAAGGCGGCCCCCCUGGACGAAGACUGACGCUCAGGUGCGAAAAGCGUGGGG